rnacentral:lncRNA from 1 species
GAAGUAGUGGGGAGGGAGGAAGGGCCGAAAAUUCCAACCUUCUAAUCAUGUCUUGGUCUUUCUGGGCCGUGUGGGAGGGAACUGAAGCCCCCUGACAACAGCCAUUUGAGUGAACCUGUAAGCGGACCCUUCAGCUCUAAAUGAUGCAGCCCUGGCCAACACCUUGACCACAGCCUGUAAGAGACCUGAGAUAGAACUAUCCAGAUGUCUUCUUUCAGGAAGUCCUUCUGGACCUACACUCUCCAUCCUGAGCAGGUUUACAUACUCCUACUCUGUGCUUCAUAAAAUCCUGAGAAUUAGCUUCAUCACUGGACUACAGGAUAGAUCUAGAAUAAUAUGUUUUUUAUGUGAGCUUGUGAAGUGACUGCUACUGAGUUUGGAAUGUUACUGUUUCAUCCUGAAAGACAGUGUUCUCUCCUGAGGUCUGGAGAUUGACAUUUCUGUGGACUUAAUCUAUAUGUCCAAGGACACUUCAAAGGUUAAGCAAAUUCUAUUUCUAGUACUAUAAUCAGUAAAUUGUAAAUGCUAGUAGCUUUAGGUUUUGAUACUUUGGGCCCUUAAUUUUGAAUAAAGAUCCUGCUACCACUCUGAAAUAUCAGAUGCUACACAGUAACAGUGGGCUAUAAAAAUCUACAGUAUGAGACUUGCCAAAACAGGUUUUAUGAGGAUUUGGCUGGUUCUAGAAGUAGAAUUGGCUUAAAUAUACUGUGGCAUGUGAAAAAUGUUAUACAUACAUUUUUGUUUAAAAUUAAAUAUACAAUAAAUUUUAAUCCAAUUGCUUUGUUUUCAAAGACAAAUCUAGAGCAACAUACUUGGAAAGGAAAUUUUAUAAUUUACCUAAAAAUAUCCAAGCAUAUCAUGUAGCCUUUUAGUCUUUAGGAGGUUAACGGAUUGUCUUUGCUUAGAUAACUUGUAAUAAUUUUACACUUUCUCUUUUAUUGGCUGAUUUGGAAAUGAUAAAACAAAAUUAAAAUUGAAAAGGAAUCAAAGCACUCGUUAAAACUCAGCAUCAGAGACACAAGCCCAGGAUACAGUUGCAUAACUGAAUGUUCUUUUCAGGUAACACCUGGCUUUUUCUAUUUAUAGAAAGAUAUCACAAGUUUAAACACAGAGGAAAAUGGUUCAUAAAUCCAAUAAAAUUUGGAAUGCACAACUACCAGCAAUUUCAGGGGAUUUUCACCCAAUAUAUUUGCCAACAAAUCAAUAACACGAGUAAAUCCUUCUGCAUUGUGGACAAUCAAAUGCUCACU